rnacentral:tRNA from 1 species
GCUCCCGUAGUUCAAUGGAUAGAGCAACGGCCUCCGGAGCCGUAGAUCUGGGUUCGAAUCCCAGCGGGAGUACCA